CCCUUAGAUGUUCUGGGCCGCACGCGCGCUACACUGACGGAGCCAACGAGUAUUUUCCUUGUCCGGAAGGACUGGGUAAUCUUGUGAAACUUUGUCGUGCUGGGGAUAGAGCAUUGUAAUUAUUGCUCUUCAACGAGGAAUUCCUAGUAAGCGCGAGUCAUCAGCUCGUGCUGAUUACGUCCCUGCCCUUUGUACACACCGCCCGUCGCUGCAACUGAUUGGGUGACCUGGUGAACAUCUUGGACCGGUCCACUCAAUUUCGAGAGGACUGGAAAAGGCCGUAAAUCAGGUACAUCUAGAAAUUGCAAAAGUCGUAACA
rnacentral:rRNA from 1 species